CCUACGGGAGGCAGCAGUGGGGAAUAUUGGGCAAUGGGCGCAAGCCUGACCCAGCAACGCCGCGUGAAGGAAGAAGGCUUUCGGGUUGUAAACUUCUUUUCUCAGGGACGAAGCAAGUGACGGUACCUGAGGAAUAAGCCACGGCUAACUACGUGCCAGCAGCCGCGGUAAUACGUAGGUGGCAAGCGUUAUCCGGAUUUACUGGGUGUAAAUGGGCGUGUAGGCGGGGACGCAAGUCAGAUGUGAAAACCACGGGCUCAACCUGUGGCCUGCAUUUGAAACUGUGUUUCUUGAGUACUGGAGAGGCAGACGGAAUUCCUGGUGUAGCGGUGAAAUGCGUAGAUAUUAGGAGGAACACCAGUGGCGAAGGCGGUCUGCUGGACAGCAACUGACGCUGAGGCGCGAAAGCGUGGGGAGCAAACAGGAUUAGAUACCCUAGUAGUC
rnacentral:rRNA from 1 species